rnacentral:rRNA from 1 species
UUGCCCUAGUAACGGCGAGUGAAGCGGCAACAGCUCAAAUUUGAAAUCUGGCUCUUUCAGAGUCCGAGUUGUAAUUUGCAGAGGGCGCUUUGGCUUUGGCAGCGGUCCAAGUUCCUUGGAACAGGACGUCACAGAGGGUGAGAAUCCCGUACGUGGUCGCUAGCUAUUGCCGUGUAAAGCCCCUUCGACGAGUCGAGUUGUUUGGGAAUGCAGCUCUAAAUGGGAGGUAAAUUUCUUCUAAAGCUAAAUAUUGGCCAGAGACCGAUAGCGCACAAGUAGAGUGAUCGAAAGAUGAAAAGCACUUUGGAAAGAGAGUCAAACAGCACGUGAAAUUGUUGAAAGGGAAGCGCUUGCAGCCAGACUUGCUUGCAGUUGCUCAUCCGGGCUUUUGCCCGGUGCACUCUUCUGCAGGCAGGCCAGCAUCAGUUUGGGCGGUGGGAUAAAGGUCUCUGUCACGUACCAUCCUUCGGGAUGGCCAUAUAGGGGAGACGUCAUACCACCAGCCUGGACUGAGGUCCGCGCAUCUGCUAGGAUGCUGGCGUAAUGGCUGUAAGCGGCCCGUCUUGAAACACGGACCAAGGAGUCUAACAUCUAUGCGAGUGUUUGGGUGUCAAGCCCGAGCGCGUAAUGAAAGUGAACGGAGGUGGGAACCCGCAAGGGUGCACCAUCGACCGAUCCUGAAGUUUACGGAAGGAUUUGAGUAAGAGCAUGGCUGUUGGGACCCGAAAGAUGGUGAACUAUGCUUGAAUAGGGUGAAGCCAGAGGAAACUCUGGUGGAGGCUCGCAGCGGUUCUGACGUGCAAAUCGAUCGUCAAAUUUGGGCAUAGGGGCGAAAGACU